GGAGUUUUAGCUCAGUGGUAGAGUGCUUGCCUGGUACGUGUGAGGCUCUGGGUUUGAUUCUCAGCACCA
rnacentral:tRNA from 1 species